GACAGUCUUAGUUCGGAUUGUAGGCUGCAACCCGCCUACAUGAAGUCGGAAUUGCUAGUAAUCGCGGAUCAGCAUGCCGCGGUGAAUACGUUCCCGGGCCUUGUACACACCGCCCGUCACACCAUGGGAGUUGGUAACACCCGAAGUCAGUAGCCUAACCGCAAGGAGGGCGCUGCCGAAGGUGGGAUCGAUGACUGGGGUGAAGUCGUAACAAGGUACC
rnacentral:rRNA from 1 species